rnacentral:misc_RNA from 1 species
UUGAAAUAUUCUAGAAAAUGAGGGCACGGUCCAUGCUGAGAUCGCUUUUCACGGUGCAAAAGACGUUGAGACAAGAGAAAGAGCGAGAUAUGAAGUAUGCGAUGGCUUCAGGCGCGCGCCACCACAGUCAGACGCGUCAUACAGUAUACUAUAGGAUAGAAUAGGGAAAGCUAUCAUUUUCUAGCAAACCAAGGAAGAAUCCAAAUUUUCCCAAGACAUCGAAAAAUUUUAGAAAAAUUUUAAUAGUAGAUUACACGAAACGGUUCGGAGAUGCAAUAUUCUAAUAAAGCUAUCAGAGUAUGGUAAAUCAAAGGAUAUUGCCACUUACCGGCGAUUUCUUUACGAAGCUCUUCGUUCGAAAUAUUAGCCAUGGUAAACCUUCUCACUGUGCGUACUGCUGCCAACUGAACCUAUGCCGGCUGCGGACUCCCGUAGCGUCCGUUGGUACAGUCACCCUAUACAGCCGCGACUGUCGAAGCGACCACUCGGUUUCUUCCUCGCUUUAGUGGUACAGUAACUACCAACACGUUCGAAAGGAUGUAUCGAAUAAAUGAUCUUGGAAAAUUCAUAACUUUAAAACCGUUGAUCCUAGAAAGACGUUGUAUUUACAAAAUCGUAUCAGUUUUUUACGAGGAAAAUAUUUCUUAGGAAGCGCCUUGCUCGAUUUUAUCAUCUAACACAUGUACCUAGAGUUUAUGGCAGCUAUGACGUAAAUACUUUUGAAGGCGACUAUACCCAAUCUGGCAG